UCUGUCAGUGUAGGGUUACUAUGAGCUCUCUAACAAACUACUACAUCCAGGCCUCAAAGCUGCUGGAAAAUGAUCUGGAUUACGAAGGAAUAAAUUUGAUAUGUUAGCAAUCACAAGCGGGAACUGAAAAGAAAGGCUUCCUUAAUACGGUUCUUUUAGGCUAUAAUGGGAAAUACGAAGAUAAAUCUGGCUCAGAGACAAACCCACAUAAGACUGCGGCGAGCACACAGAAUAUAGAUCUCGGUUAUGAGAUGUGUAAAACACACAAUGGCCUGAAUCAGGAGCUAAGUAUAUAAGUGCAAACAAACCCGUUUUUAUAGUUAGCAUGGCAUUUUGAAUGGAGUUUUAAGCCUAAAGGACAGUAUCCUACUUGCAGAAGAAGAUGGGAAAUAAAACACUCCAUUAUCUUGCUUUGGAUUUAUGGAAAUUCUGAACAGUGAUGUGAGAGUGACUACAGUUUGAAGUAUCUGUUAAAUACAGCAGCAUGACAUCACAAGACUUGCUAUACCAGCAAAGUCAAAAGAAGGUCUUCAGAGAGAGGAAAUAUGAUAUAUGUCAGAAACUUGGAACUACAUAAAGAAAGAGCAUUGGAAAAAACUAAG